ACCGAAUUGGUGUAGGGGUCAACAUGCUAGAUUCUCAACUAAGGUGAUUUUCUGGAGCCAGGAGUUCGAGUCUCCUAUUCGGUG
rnacentral:tRNA from 1 species